rnacentral:lncRNA from 1 species
AUACUGUUAGGGUGCAACUGAGUAGUCUAAUGUUGUUCCGAUUUUCGUUCUUGUGAACGUUGACAUCGAUUCAUUCCAAAUUCACACUCUCGGGGCAUAAUAGAGCAUCUCGGGGCAUAAUAGAGCAAUAUAAUAAGGUUUUACUCUUUGUUCGAUAGAAUGAGAAAAAGUACUCCUUACAAAGUUAUACUGUUAAGGCGCUACUGAAUAGUCUAAUGUUGUUCCGGUUUUGAUUCUUGUGAAAGUUGACAUCGAUUUGUUCCAAAUUUACACUCUCGGGGCAUAAUAGACCAAUAUAAUUAGGUUUACUCCUUGUUCGAUGGAAUGAGAAAAAGUACUCGUUGCAAAGUUAUACUGUUAGGGCGCAACUGAGUAGUCUAAUGUUGUUCCGAUUUUUGUUCUUCUGAACGUUGACAUCGAUUUGUUUCAANGUUAAUUAAGAGAAACCAUCUCUCUUUCUCUCUAGUAUCUCCGUUUCUCUCUCUCUCUCUUUUCUUCGAACGAGAGGUUCGGAGAGAGCCAAACCCGUGGUUUCUCUUUUCUCACGUUCAAGUGUAUAUAUAUAUAUAUAUAUAUCUCUCUCUCUCUCUCUCUCUCUCUCUCUCUCUCGUCCCGACGACACGAGAUCCCUCGUGCCUCCGGAGGCACGAGGACUCGGCAAAAGCUACUACCUCAAAGGCUUAGUUGCUAGCCGAGGCAAUUUGAACUAGAUCGCAUAAACUUCAAAGAUCUUUUAUUAAAAACACUAAAAAGCUAUAGUAAAUGGAUCGUUAGCUUUCCUAAGUUUUAGUUAUUAAAAAUUGCCAACUUUUAUUUUUAGGAUAUUUUUCACCACUAUAUCGUGAUUUUAAAAGCUAGUCUUUAUAACUAGAACAAUAUCUAUCAUAUUUCUGAGGAGAAAAUUGGAAUUGCUUGGUGGUGUAGCAAGCUUGGUGGAGAAGAAGGCUUGGAGUUGAAGCUUCAUCUUCAUCUUCUCCUUCCUUGGUCUAAGAGGAAACUUGAGAGGUUUUCUGACGCGCUGGCGAAGUCGGUUCGGCGAUACGACGAGGUUACGCGAAGAUAUUGAAGAAAAGGCCGAUUUCGGUACAGAUUGCCGCAGCUCGUGGCGUAAGCUCCCAAAAAUCACGAAACCGGAAUCGUAGCAUCGUGACAUCACCUAAAGUCUUGGAGCUAAAAAAGUCGGGGGCACGAAGGGUCGCGUGGAGCUCUCGGUGGGUUUGACCUCGCUACAAAUGAGAAAAUCUCAUUUAUGUGGAUUUAAGUAUCGUAAAAUGGAAAAUCACGCAUUUUAAUGAAAAAUGCAUUAUUUGUGAAUUUUAAAAUGCUUGAAAUGCUUAUGUUAUAUACAAUGCAUUUUCGGACCUCUAUGUAGUAGAGAGCUUGCAUGUAAGACUUAUGCAUGGGUUUAGCAUUCUAAUUGGGACUUGGAAUCAUGCUUCAUAUAGUAGACAUGACAAAUGUGUAAUAUGCCUUGGACAUAAAUCUCAUUUGGACAUAAGAGAAUACAUUAGGCCAUAAAGUGGUUUUGGACUUGAAUAACUUGUGAGUUAGGGAGCUAAUGUCGUAAUGCGACAUCGGGCUUGAGCUAUGAAUGAGCCUAGCAAAGUAAUGCCAUAGAGAGGCAUUAGGCUUGAAUGAUAUGUGAAUUGUAUAUGCAUGUUAAUAGUAUGAGAAUUAUGCUAAGUUGGUAGUUGCAUUGGAAAGUGUAUGCAUGUAGCAUUAUGAGAACUAUGCUAUGUUGAUAGUUGUAUACGGAUGCAUUGAAACCAUAUGCUAGUGGAUAGAUGCAUGUUAAUAUUUAUAUGCAUUGUGGAAUACAUGCUAGGUACAUAUUAGCAAUGUGAGAUCAUGCUAGAGAGCAUGCGAAUUAACCUAUUAUUGAUAGGGUAAGCUAAUGUCAUAAAGAGGCAUUGGGCUUGAAAUUUGUAAGGUACAGAACUUCUUAAAUUCUGAAGUUACGGUAGGAUGUAAUAGGUUUUACUCUUUGUUCGAUAGAAUGAGAAAAAGUACACGUUGCAAAGUUAUACUGUUAUGGCGCAACUGAGUAGUCUAAUGUUGUUCCGGUUUUGAUUCUUGUGAACGUUGAAAAUUCGUUCCAAAUUUACACUCUCGGGGCAUAAUAGAACUAUAUAAUUAGGUUUUACUCUUUGUUCGAUAGAAUGAGAAAAAGUACUCGUUUCAAAGUUAUACUGUUAGGGCGCAACAGAGUAGUCUAAUGUUGUUCUGGUUUUCGUUCUUGUGAACGUUGACAUCGAUUCGUUCCAAAUUUACACUCUAGGGGCAUAAUAGAACUAUAUAAUUAGGUUUUACCCUUUGUUCAAUAGAAUGAGAAAAAGUACUCGUUGCAAAGUUAUACUGUUUGGGCGCAACUGAGUAGUCUAAUUUUGUUCCUGUUUUUGUUUUUGUGAACGUUGACAUCGAUUCGUUCCAAAUUUACACUCUCGGGGCAUAAUAGAACAAUAUAAUUAGGUUUUACUCUUUGUUCGAUAGAAUGAGAAAAAGUACUUGUUGCAAAGUUAUACUGUUAAGGCGCAACUGAGUAGUCUAAUGUUGUUCCGAUUUUGGUUCUUGUGAAUGUUGACAUUGAUUCGUUCAAAAUUUACACUCUCGAGGUAUAAUAAAAUAAUAUAAUUAGGUUUUACUCUUUAUUCGAUAGAAUGAGAAAAAGUACUCGUCGCAAAGUUAUACUGUUAGGGGGCAACUGAGUAGUCUACUGUUGUUCCGAUUUUGGUUCUUGUGAACGUUGACAUCGAUUCGUUCCAAAUUUACACUCUCGAGGUAUAAUAGACCAAUAUAAUUAGGUUUUCUCUUUGUUCGAUAGAAUGAGAAAAAGUACUCGUUGCAAAGUUAUAUUGUUAGGGCGCAACUGAGUAGUCUAAUAUUGUUCCGAUUUUGGGGACCGUCCUCUGGCAAGGACCGGUUCCGAACGUUGAAUAUCCCCUUUGCCAGUUUGUGCAGCUUUACGUGGACGGCUCAAAGGGGUCGCUCGCCCGACAAAGGUGACCACCGGUUGGUCCCUCACUGCGAAAAAUACCCAGGGAGGCUGUUUCAAGAAGUGAAAAGUGAGGGUUUUAUGUUGCAUCAAGUGGGUUAUGAGAAGAGGCUAGGCUUGUCCGCCUCUCAUCGCAUCACUUACACUUCAGUGGAUGCCCUUCUUCACGUCGUGAUGUCGUAGUCCUCCAUACUCACGACCUCUGAUGUCUACUCAUCUUCUGGCUCUCUGAAAGGUUAUAACAAAAAAGCAUCAUAUCGGAGGAAAAGAGGAGAAGUAGCAGAAGGCUAGUAGAAUGAUAGAAGGAGACGAGAUAGAGACUGAAAAAGAGCGAGAAAGAGAGGUAUUGACAACUAAGACAGGAAUGAGAAGCAUAUCACGCGAGUUACACUAUUCAUCAUCUCCUCUUGCCCAAAGCUUGGAGCUUGGUAAUGAUGUAAACCUCAACCUUUGAUGUGGUUUCAAUAGGCAGAGGUAGAAGUUUUAUAAUACGAAUAAGCGCGGUUCAAGACUGAACCUUAUUGAGCUGCAUAACUGCCAGGUCGAGAUAUGUUUCGACUCGAAAUCGAAGCUCGCAGCCGGCAGAGUAGUCGUAUCUCAUCAAUGGCCGCAUGAUGCGUGCAUUGUGCUUUUCGAUAGUCUUUCGAGAAUAGGUUGGCCAGAGCAUACUUGAACUGGGCUAUUUAAUUCAAAUUAAUUUCGGCACACCUAAAUUCUAAGGUCCCGAAGUCGUAGGCACAGACGGUGUGUCGCAUUACCGUCGAGUAGCAGUCGAAGUUAUCGCCAAGAGAGACCUUCGGAGCUUCGUGUCCAUGCCUAGAAGGCUAACGGCGUCGAGACGGUUCUAAGGCACGACACAUCGCAAUCGAAGAGCUUCCACAGAAGUCCACCCACCGAGGGGUGGAGCAUCACAGUAAAACCCACCAAAAGUCCUCACCAGGGCGAGAGUGGCGCUACACGAGCUAACCAGAAGGGUGCGGGCGAUCAACAUGGUCGGACUUCACUUUCAUGCUUUAGAUGUCUGAUGUCAUCAUCGAAAGACUUAACUAGUACGAGUUUAUUACAUAUUGUGAUAUAGUCAAUUACUUGACGGAAUUGUCUUAACCAUGGAUUAUCGCUGCAUAUCCUUGCAUGCUAAGGAUGGUAUAGCUCUGCGUUUGUUCAUCAUCGUCAAGACUGAUUUAGUAAAACAUGCAGAGGUGAGCGAUCGUUUGAGAACAGACACCCAAUGAAAAGUCGCCCUAGUCAACUAACGAUAAGAAUUAUUGUUUCAGUAGAUGAUAUAUGAACCUAGUGAUACCUUGGAACACAGUUGUAUUCAAGAACUCUGUCAAGAGAACGAGUGGCCAUCUAGUUAACCUAAACAUGAACGAGUGCAUUAAGUAGCCGGUAGGCAGCGCAAAACCUAAGAAAACUGCCUGCAGCUUGUCGAGAGACUACAUCAGUAUCAGAUAGUGAUGGAUCAGCGCCACCAAUCAAGUUGCUACUACACCGAGGCUAACCUCUCGGUGCCACGAAAUUCCGCCGAGUAUAGAUAUGCCCCCUGUUGAUCAGGGCGAUAUUACGAGAUUAUCAUGACAGAGAUUGAAUCGAGCUCACUUAGCUGCUGUCUUACACCUGUAGGACAGUAAGAAUCCUCGCACCUUCCUUACGAUGCUUUAAGUCGUUACACAACUCCCGGAGUGCUUCUUCGGCGAAGAUAUCUCGCAAGAUACUGGCGGGCCAGUGUAUGCCCUGGAGCCAGUGUAGUGUCCGCUCUCGGAAGAUAGGAUCCGGUCUCCGGGUAAGUGAUAUAGCUAGCCCACUCAUCCCCUAUGCAAGCAUCUUAGACGACGUAGAGGUACACGUAUCAGAUGUCACAAUGAAAACCCGACGGCGAGCGAAACUUGCGUUCGCCGAGAGAUACGAAACUAGAUAUUCCACAGAAUAUAGCCCGAAGAUCCUGUUCAAUCAUGUCCAUGAUGCUGACUCACACUUAGCAUUGUGUUUGAUGGAAGCAUGUAGUCCCGAAAGGCAUCACCGAGACAGCCUAGCAUUCUUACUAUGAGUUGUGCGAAGACAUUCGUAGUGGCAUCCUGAAUUAUGAGGCAUUGUAGUACCUGUGGCGAAUCUAGUUUCUAUGGACCAUCAAUUCACUCUCAGCCCGGAUCUUAAGCUGAAUGGUACCGCUUUCAGUUAAUAUAAUCUAUCUAUCUGCAUAUCUAUCUGUAGCGCGGGGCUAAGACGCUAGUGGGAGGAUCCGAUGCAAUGAGAUCUUCGGAGCAGAUACACGCCAGAACCCACUGGGAAACUAUUCGUAGUUCUCACUCGCACAGAGUACUAUCGCUGCACUGAGGCUGGCUUCCAAAGAAAGGAGACCGUGUUCAAUCUGGGCAGGGGAUACCCCUGUUUCUUACACUGUGACUUUGUUGAGGCGGCUCGAAUCGCCGGAAGGCGUAAGCGCCCUACGGGUUGACAGUGGUAAUCCAGACGAAGAGGGUUUUUCACUUAUUUAAAUAUCAAAUUUUUUCUUGACUUAGCGCCUUAUUUAGAAGACAGGGCAGCACCUCUAGUCGUCUAGGGAGAUCACACCUGGCUCUAUGACCUCCUUUAUCACCCUACCUCAGCUGGCGCCUUCCCUUUACUUCAGCUCCCAGGCAAAGCAAUAUAAGAUUAGUCAUAGCCAUCGAGGAUCGAUGGUGGUUGCCAGACACAGUGAUCUCAUACUGCGGUCAGCACGAGGUCAUCCUGUUAUCUGGUAGUCUAGAGAGUUGUAGGUACGAAUUCACAGACUACAUGGUCAUAUCCAAUGAGUGGUCGCAUUCUUAAUCUUAUGUCUAAUAUACACGGCCGGGCAUUCAACAUUAUUGCCCUAGUAAAGAGAUAUCGCAGCGAAAUAGAGGCUCUAACAUGCUCGGUUAAUAAAUAUAUUAUAAGAAGUUAGCUCGGCAAAAUAGGAUCACCCAUCCUCCGCUCGCAUCGAUAGUAAUGUUGCCUAGUGAAAAACAGUCCAUUAGGUUCGAAUUUUAUUACUACUCAGAUCAGGCUAGAAAAACCCGAUCAUCGUUGUACCAAGAAGUAAAGCGGCGGUGAGUACCAUACGAGCAUAAGUGUAUGCUCAGCUGACAGGCGAGUAAGCAUCAUCCUGCUAGAGGUCGUCUCGAUCUCGAAGUGUACACAUCGAGUGUUUUGCGAGGAAAGACCAAGCUCACAUGCAAAUGAAUGCGAAAUAAAGAGUGGCGAUGCUCUUCACGUACUCGAAAAUGAGCAAUUCUAGCAUCAGAUGAAAUGUUGAAGGUAUGGACAAUACCUCGCAAGACAGUCGCCCACACCAGUGCCCUGCGUGCUGAGUCAGGGCGAAGACCUCUCUGCGCAUCUCCAGAUGCGCUGCCGUGCCCCUCAGUUUGCGCCUCCGUCCCGCGUAAUUGUGGUUGUUAAUUGUUAUGUACCCAGUUCAACGUUGUUCCUUGGAACCUUGUUGCUCACUAAUCUAUGGUUGAGCCUUGGCGACAGAGGAGGCUGUCCGUUCGGCGUCGGUCCGCCCUUCGAGUAGGGGGACCCCGGAGCCACGAAGCAGCUGCAGCUGGGGCUCCGCGGCUUCUGCGGGCGUGCAGGCAUGGGAGGAGACAGGGACUCCCCCUGAGACAUCCGCCACCUCCUAGGACACUGGCUUGCAGGGGAGCCACCUCGCACUGGCCACGAACGGAAACAGUGUCCUCCUCUGCGACCAUUCGCCAUCAACCGCUGAGCUUUGCCGGCAGAUGCACACAACGGUGGAUCGCCCCUCUGCUGAUUGCUCGAGGGCGCACUCUUUGCUCCCUGCUAGAGUGCGCGGAUGCUUUGGCGACCGGUUACUAUUGGAAAGGAGCCGCCGCACGUCUUAGAAUGGGAACGCUUUCUGUUCCCCAUCGCCUCCGAGGCCCUUUGCAGCUCGGACUCUCGUAGACUCGCUCUGGAUGACGAGGCUAUCGUCGCAAGCACUCCGUCAAAACACGUCAUCGUGCCAUGAGAAGCCCAGCAGCAUCCUGAUGUGGGUCUCGAAGCCCUCGCGAAGACUCUCGCCUUGUGCGCUCGUCAAAGUAGGCUCGAAUAGAGAGCAAGGGAUCAGCCUCCACCAUGGCGGAAGACGAAGUCCUGCUCGUAGCUUCAGCUACGGUACGUUCCCACUGCUGAAGAUGUUCUAAAGCUCCGCGCUCCGGCCCAGCCUCCAAAUUUUUGAGUUGUCCCGAAAGAAUUGCUUGGAUUGGAGAUCUCCGGAACUCCCCCCAGGGUUGGGAAAGGACGGCCCAGCUGUGAGCGAGGUAGAUGUCGGCAGCCACCAAAUAGAGCUGCGUCCGCCGGUCCGAGAAAGUGUGCGGCCAAGGACGCGGUACCUGGCUCAUCCGAUGAGUAUAAGUCGCUCUAAAGCUAGGUACUCUCACAAUGUCGGUCAGGUUCGAUGAGCAGGUCGCGUCGAUAGAAACUCCUAGUUCUCUUCCUUCUUACGCUCCACGCGUAUUCUUGCGGGUCGAAUUCCCAUGAACUCAUCCAGCUUCGCACAUGCAUAGCGGGCGCCUCUGCUGCGGGGUAAUUUGCAUCCUCAGCUGGAACCUCUGGUGGUCGUCCGUCGUCGUCGAGCUCAGCAAGCAGAUAAAGAUGGAACGGAGCCGAGGGCCGAGCUACCUAGUGCAGGCGCACCUGAGGAGGUGGUGGACUUCCUACGGAGACUCUAAGAGCAGGCAUGACCCAUUCCAGAACCGGCGGCGUCGGGGAAGGUAGUCGCUUAUAUGGGAACACAGCUCUAGGCGGUGUGCGGCUCGUAAGGACUAGCUGGCAUGAGUGCUGCGUCGGAAACCGCCGCCAUGUGGAAAGGAGUCGUCAUCCUGAAUCCCGUCCCGUCAUCACUGGAGGCUUUAGACCUCGAGUGGUGAGGCUCGAGCUGCUUCGAUAGCAGUGAGUAUCCGCCCUGCUGGAUGUGGAAUGUUUUUUUUUACUUUUCUGGUCGAUCUGCUCACCCUACUCCUGCCCUGCCCCACCUGCCUCUGCCGUUGCUCGGAGGCCUGCUCUUUUCCUAGGAGGCUAAUUGACUAAGAGCCCUCAUGGGCGACGGCGUCCAGAAAGUUUGAUGGAACUAGCUCCCACGAACUCACGGAAGAAGGUGGGUCCGCUACUCCACGAGCCAAUCUGUAACACAAAGCACGCGUCAGCACGAAUAAUCGAGACUCGACCAACUCCGCCUACGGACUUGAGGCCCACAGAAACUUGCACUCACGUGCGCUAUGAGUAUUUCGCCCGUAGUCCUGCCUAUGGGUCAACCUAACCAAUGGUUCAUUUCAUUGAUUUUUCGAAAACCAACCUGUGAAUGGUAGUCUCCCCCUGUAUUUUGAGCACGGUCGUCGUAGCACAAGUACAGAGGAGAUCUGUCCCGUCGUGAAGUGGAUUCCCUGUAAUUGUGCGAUCUGACAUACUCUGGGGUCAGGUAUUUGAGAAAAACAAAAACAAAUUAUUAGUCAUUUCGCGUCAUUUCCAAACGCGCAACAAGGACCUCAGGGGUGACAGAUUAAAGUGGUAUCAGAGCCGGUUCAUCAGCUGGACAUGUGUGGCGAGUCUCGCUAUGAGCCACGGGUCGGAUGACGGGCUAACGAGCGACGUCUUACAUCGCGCUGGUGAUCUUGGGCUGUGUGUGUUGUGGACUCGACAGACGUCAGGACUGCAGCUUAAACGGGGAGUCCUGGUGACACCGCCAUAUCAACAUCGAUGAAAUGGAAGGUGUUGUUUAUUCAGGAGUUGAUAAGCACGACUUAGACACUAGCUAAAUAAUAACUGGCUUAGAGCAUUUGGGGUCUGUGUUGGUAUCAUGGGCCAACGAGUUACUCUUAAUUAAGCUUAGUGAAGCUUGGGCCUGGUCGUUACAUUGGUAAUCAGUCAAGUCGAAUUCUUUCAGCUCAUCGAAGCUACUGCUAGACACCGUCGAUUUGUUCAUGAAGUUAUUGUCGUUUCGAACUGCGAAUGAUGACCUGUCGUUCGGAUUCAGUAAUACCGAUUUUGCUGGGAGUCCACCGGGUUAUACCCAAAGCUCUCCGAGCUUUGCCUCAAUGUAAAGCUUGUGAAGCGGUGUGCGAUUUUGGAGAAGGCUGCAACGAAUCGCAAGAUAAUACCUGCACUGCGCCAAACCCUAGAAAAACUCCGGACUUGGUCACCGAAAGUUUUGGUUCAAGACCAGCUACACCACGCGAGGCUAUCUUCUUCGGGUCCGACCGAAUCCACGCCGGAGUAGAAUAUGCCGUCUCUCAAGAAUGACCACGUAGCGACGUCACGGAGCAGAAAUCCACUUCUUGAGCUUAGCGUUACAACUGUGCCGCCGCUGAAGUAUCUGGCAAUUAGCUCUGUCGCGAGAUGAUCCUCAGGUGCUCCCUACAAUACUCCGCGAGUAGAUCAGGAGUCAUCAUGAAACCGACGACAGACACUGAUCCAGAUAAGCUCGGAAGCCCUGUCAUUCAUGUCGCAUAGAAGGCUGCGCGGAGGAUUGGUGAGCCCGAAAGGCACACCGUGAACUCGUAGUGGCCGUAACGAGUCCGGAAAGGCGGUCUUUCGGCACAUCCUCAGCCCGGAUCUUUAAGCUGAUGUAGCCUCCCGACCGCAAGAUCAUCCUUGGAGUUAGCACCGACGAUCCUUUGACAAGGCUGGUCAUGGUACGAAGCCUGAACUUUCCAGUACGCGCUUUCUCAUCUUUAGAGUGACGGUCAGGUCCAGAGCGACGUGCAUCCAGACUUCUUGUACGACAUGCUCUGGCGCAGAUCGCGUCUGGAUUACGGUGGAUCGGAUGGUCUCGGUAUUACCGUUGGUGGAGUUUCGCGACUAUAAUAAACAGCUUUCAGGGUCGACAUCGGGAUGGCACCAUACCGAGGCGUCUGUUAUGGGCGUUCGAUGUCGUUCUCAGCUAUCUGCUUGGCACGCAUGUCGAAGACCGCCGGUUAGUUAGGACUACUAGAUUUAGUAGGAGACGCCACAUGAGGCAAGAUCCGCAUUGGGCGAGAGAGCGGCUUCAGACCUGCAACAGAUAGAAUCCAAGGGGCGACUAGCGCGGCCCAGGCGGAGGCCGGAACCUAGAGUUUCAGUCGUGAGUCAUGUGCUGCUCAAGUGUCGCCUUCCAGGAUCAAUACGGUUUGUUUGCGGAACAAGCUUAUCGCGCUGGUUUCGGUGGGACCCGUUCUGAGAUCCUACGAGCUGCGUUGGUCCGGUGGGCUUACCAGAUUGCUCUCAUACCGCAGUCUCGCCCGAGUGCAGCAACGUUUUUUCACGUGUCCCAUGCUUCGGAUACCACAUCCCGAUCCGUCCCCACAUCAUUCAGUCGACACGCAUUCAGCUAUGCGGGAGGAUCUCGAGCUAUGCAGUGAGGCUCCCGUUGCACGAUCCUGGUCACGUGAGGUGAACGCAGUUGCCGGAAUAGGAGCAUAUCCGUAUUCAAGGUCCAGUGGAGGAGAAGCGCGACGAGAGGGCUGCGCCUGAGGCUACUGGGAGCUUGAAUGCGUCAUGGCGGUCGAUCAUUAUCCACAGUUAUUUUGCGAGGGACGUCCUUGUNNNNNNNNNNNNNNNNNNNNNNNNNACUAAUUAUAUAGUUCUAUUAUGCCGCCGGCGCAAUUGUUAUAUAUUUGGAACGAUCUUAAAUUUACAAGAACCAAAUCGGAACAACAAUUAGACUACUAAGUUGCGCACCUAACAUAUUAACUUUUGCAACGAGCACUUAUUUCUCAUUCUACAAACAAAGAGUAAAACCAUUAUAUUGCUUAUUAUGCCUCGAGACAGUGUAAAUUUGGAACGAAUCAGAAACUUGUCAACGUUCACAAGACAACAAACAUGGACGAAAAUUAGCACUACUCAGUUUGCGCGCAACAGUAUAACUUUUGAACGAGUAUUUUUCUUCAUUGAUCAAUAGAACAAAGAGUUAAAACCUAAGUAUAUUAUUUUUUAUACCUCCAUUCGUGCUAAAUCGUAGAACGAGGUCAAUGUCAACGUUCACAAGACCAAAAUCGGAACACAUAGACUACUCAGUUGGCACCAACAGAUAUGAACUUAUGCACACGAAUACUUUUUUCUAAUUCUAUCAACAAAGAAGUAAACCCCAUAUUAUAUUGUAUCUUAUGCCCCAGAGUGUAAAUUUGGAACGUAACCAGAUGGCAAGGUUCACGUAAGAACAAAAAACAGGAACAAAAUUAGAUACUAGUUGCGGCCAAAAAGUCUAACUUUGCAACGAGUAUUUUUUCUCAUUUCUAUUAUCAGAAAGAGGUAAAACCUAAUUAUAUAGUUCUAAUUUGCCUGGAGUGUAAACUUGGAACGAAUCAGAUUCGUCAACGUGAUUAAGAAGAAAAACCAGAAAACACAUUACACUACUCUGGUUUGCAGCACUAACAGUAUAACUGCGACGUAGUACUUUUGUCUCUUUCUAUCGAACAAAAAGUGAAACCUAAUUAUCAUUCUAUUAUGCCCGGGCGAGUGUAAAUUGUGGAAGAUCUUCAACGUUCACAAAAGAACCAAAUCGGAACAACAUGAGCACUACUCAUUGCGACCUAACGUUAUAACUUUGCAACGAGUACUUUUCUGAUUUCUAUCAACAAAGAGAUAAAACCUUUAAUUAUAUCGAUAUCUAUAGUCUCGAGAGUGUAAAUUGGACGAUAUCAGAGUCAAGUUCAGAAAGAAUCAAAGAUUCGGCGAAGAACAUUAGAUACUCAGUUUUGGCCCUAACAGUUAUACUUAAUGCAACGAUCUUUUUCUACGUUCUAUCAAACAAAGAGUAAAAUACUAAUUAUAUUAUUUAUUAUACGCUCGAGAGUGUGAAUUUGGACGAAGGUCAUAUCAACGUUCACAAGAACCAGCCGGGAGACCGGUCCUUGUCCGAGAGACCGGUUCCCGAGAGCAAUACUUUCGGGACUUAGCCAAAUUUCGGCUUCUCUCGCUGGGCCAACGUUCGGGAACCGGUCCCUGCCUGCUAGGGACAGGUCUCAUCAGAGACCCCCGCAGCCCAGCCUGAUGGGACCGGUCCCUCCCUGCCAGGGACCGGUCCCCGAGAGCAUUUCUUCUCCAGUGCAGCUUUUGCACGGGUGCUCUCGCGGACACCUCCUCAAUGCACCUUAUGCAUUGUGAUCACCUUCGGACUUUCCGAAGCUUGCACGCACGACAACCAGUCGAUCUUUGACGAAGUCUAAUCCUCGAGUUUCGAGAAUUCACUUCCCUUACACUCUCCCCACUUAAAAGAGUUUCGUCCUCGAAACGAACUCAACAAUAUUAAAUUCAUCCAGAAUACUCAUACCUCGGUGGCUCACUCAAACAAGUGAGGAUGAUUCGCUCUCAUCUCCUCCUCGAGCUCCCAGGUGGCUUCGCGGUCAGCAUGAUUGCUCCACUCUCAGGGCAUAAUAGAAUAAUAUAAUUAGGUUUUACUCUUUGUUCGAUAGAAUGAGAAAAAGUACUCGUUGCAAAGUUAUACUGUUUGGGCGCAACAGAGUAGUCUAUUGUUGUUCCGGUUUUCGUUAUUGUGAACGUCGACAUCGAUUCGUUCCAAAUUUACACUCUCGGAGUAUAAUAGAACUAUAUAAUUUGGUUUUACUCUUUAUUCAAUAGAAUGAGAAAAAGUACUCGUUGCAAAGUUAUACUGUUUGGGCGCAACUCAGUGGUCUAAUUUUGUUCCGGUUUUUGUUCUUGUGAACGUUGACAUCGAUUCGUUCCAAAUUUAUACUCUCGGGGCAUAAUAGCACAAUAUAAUUAGGUUUUACUCUUUGUUCGAUAGAAUGAGAAAAAGUACUCGUUGCAAAGUUAUACUGUUAGGGUGCUACUGAAUAGUUGAAUGUUGUUCCAAUUUUGAUUCAUGUGAACGUUGACAUCGAUUCGUUCCAAAUUUACACUCUCGGGGCAUAAUAAAAUAAUAUAAUUAGGGUUUACUCUUUGCCCGAUAGAAUGAGAAAAAGUACUCGUUGCAAAGUUAUACUGUUAGUGUGCAACUGAGUAGUCUAAUAUUGUUCCGGUUUUUGUUCUUCAGAUCGUUGACAACGAUUCGUUCCAAAUUUACACUCUCAGGGCAUAAUAGAACAAUAUAAUUAGGUUUUACUCUUUGUUCGAUAGAAUGAGAAAAAGUACUCGUUGCAAAGUUAAACUGUUUUGGGCGCAACUGAGUAGUCUAAUUGUUCCGUUUUUGUUCUUGUGAACUUGACAUCGAUUCGUUCCAAAUUUACACUCUCGGGGCAUAAUAGAGAAUAUAAUUAUGUUUUACUCUUUGUUCGAUAGAAAUGAGAAAAAGUACUCGUUGCAAGUUAUACUGUUAGGCGCAACCUGAGUUGUCUAAUGUUGUUCCGGUUCUUGGUUCUUGUGAUACGUUGAAAUCGAUUCGUCAAAUUUAUUACACUCUUCGGGGGGCAUAAUAGAAGCUAUAUAAAUUAUGGUUUUAAGCUCUUAAUUCGAUUUUUAGAAAAGAGAAAAAAGUACUACGUUGCAAAGUUAUAGCCUGUUAGCACGCCAACAGAGUAGUCUUAAUUUGUUCCGGUUCACAAAGAACGAAAACCGGAAACGAACAUUAGACUAUCGGUUUUCGUUCUGUGAACGUUGACAUCGAUCGUUCCAAAAUUUACACGCCUUUGGGGCCAUUAAAUAGAACAUGAUAAUAUGUUUUAUCCUUUGUUUCGAUGCGUAGAAUGAGAAAACGUACUCUGUUUCACAAAGUUAUAGCUGUUUGGGGCCGCCCCCCCAACUGAGUAGUACUAAUUUUGGUUACCCGGAUUUUGUUCUUAUAGUGAACUGUUGACAUAACGAUUCGUUUCCGUCCUUAUAACUAUUGAAUUUAAGAGGAUUUAGACUCCCUUUUCGCUCAUGAGGGACCAANNNNNNNNNNNNNNNNNNNNNNNNNNNNNNNNNNNNNNNNNNNNNNNNNNNNNNNNNNNNNNNNNNNNNNNNNNNNNNNNNNNNNNNNNNNNNNNNNNNNNNNNNNNNNNNNNNNNNNNNNNNNNNNNNNNNNNNNNNNNNNNNNNNNNNNNNNNNNNNNNNNNNNNNNNNNNNNNNNNNNNNNNNNNNNNNNNNNNNNNNNNNNNNNNNNNNNNNNNNNNNNNNNNNNNNNNNNNNNNNNNNNNNNNNNNNNNNNNNNNNNNNNNNNNNNNNNNNNNNNNNNAAAUUUACACUCUCGGGGCAUAAUAAAAUAAUAUAAUUAGGUUUUACUCUUUGUUCGGUAGAAUGAGAAAACGUACUCGUUGCAAAGUUAUACUGUUAGGGCGCAACUGAUUAGUCUAAUGUUGUUCCGUUUUUCGUUCUUAUGAACGUUGACAUCGAUUCGUUCCAAAUUUACACACUCGGGGCAUAAUAGAGCAAUAUAAUUAGGUUUUACUCUUCGUUCGAUAGAUUCAGAAAAAGUACUCGUUGCAAAGUUAUACUGUUAGGGCGCAACUGAGUAGUCUAAUGUUGUUCCGGUUUUUGUUCUUCUGAACGUUGACAUCGAUUUGUUCCAAAUUUACACUCUCGAGGCAUAAUAGAACAAUAUAAUUAGGUUUUACUCUUUGUUCGAUAGAAUAAGAAAAAGUACUCGUUGCAACCUUAUACUGUUUGGGCGCAACUGAGUAGUCUAAUUGUCACGCCCCGCGACCAACCGCCGAUUUGGACCGGGUCGCGGCGCCGCCGACAGACCGCCGAACGGACCGGGAAUUCCCCUGUAUGCGGACAGGGUCUCCCCAGUACGUCCAAGGCGUCGCAAUCCAAACAAUCAACGAAUAUUCCAACAAGA